rnacentral:rRNA from 1 species
AUUGAACGCUGGCGGCAGGCCUAACACAUGCAAGUCGAGCGAGCGGCGGACGGGUGAGUAAUGUAUGGGGAACUGCCCGAUAGAGGGGGAUAACUACUGGAAACGGUGGCUAAUACCGCAUACUAUCGGAUGAACCCAUAUGGGAUUAGCUAGUAGGUGGGGUAAAGGCUCACCUAGGCGACGAUCUCUAGCUGGUCUGAGAGGAUGACCAGCCACACUGGGACUGAGACACGGUCCAGACUCCUACGGGAGGCAGCAGUGGGGAAUAUUGCGCAAUGGGGGCAAGCCUGACGCAGCCAUGCCGCGUGAAUGAAGAAGGCCUUCGGGUUGUAAAGUACUUUCAGUAAGGAGGCGUUAACCGCAGAAGAAGCACCGGCUAACUCCGUGCCAGCAGCCGCGGUAAUUC